UACGAAGGGGGCUAGCGUUGCUCGGAAUCACUGGGCGUAAAGGGUGCGUAGGCGGGUCUUUAAGUCAGGGGUGAAAUCCUGAAGCUCAACUCCAGAACUGCCUUUGAUACUGAGGAUCUUGAGUUCGGGAGAGGUGAGUGGAACUGCGAGUGUAGAGGUGAAAUUCGUAGAUAUUCGCAAGAACACCAGUGGCGAAGGCGGCUCACUGGCCCGAUACUGACGCUGAGGCACGAAAGCGUGGGGAGCGAACCGGG
rnacentral:rRNA from 1 species